GACCUACGGGACGCAGCAGUGGGGAAUAUUGCGCAAUGGGCGAAAGCCUGACGCAGCGACGCCGCGUGAGGGAUGAAGGUCUUCGGAUCGUAAACCUCUGUCGGCAGGGAAGAACGGUCACUGUGCUAAUCAGCAGUGAUUUGACGGUAUCUGCAAAGGAAGCACCGGCUAACUCCGUGCCAGCAGCCGCGGUAAUACGGGGGGGGCGAGCGUUAAUCGGAAUUACUGGGCGUAAAGCGCUCGUAGGCGGUAUUUCAAGUCAAGUGAGAAAGCC
rnacentral:rRNA from 1 species